UGUCCUCAGUUCUCAGCUCCCAGUCCUCUAGUUUGAGAGAGCUGGACCUGAGUAACAACAACCUCCAGGAUUCAGGAGUGAAGCUGGUGUCGGCUGGACUGAACAGUCCAAACUGUACACUGGAAACUCUCAGUCUGUCAGGCUGUCUGGUCUCAGAGGAAGGCUUUACUUCUCUGGCCUUAGCUCUGAGCUCCAACCCCUCCCAUCUGAGAGUUCUGGACCUGAGCUACAAUCAUCCAGGAGACUCGGGCGUGAAGCUGCUGUCAGCUGGACUUAAGGAUCCAAACUGGAGACUGGACACUCUCAGGACAGACCAUGGUGGACAACAGAGACUGAGACCUGGUGUGAGGAAGUAGCCAUCUGGUGGGUAUACUUGGCAUUGAUCACCUUUUGAGAUCCCUGGCUGUGUGCUCAUGUGUUUACAAUUAUCAGUUGUUUGUAAUCAUGAUGUCUGAUACAAAUGGGUUGCUACCCAGUUCUAUUUUUAAUGUAAGAUUUCAAAAUGAAAUGGCCAUUGCAAU